CAACAACCCACUUAACAGAUGAGGAAACUGAGGCUUCAAGAGGUGAAGUCCUUGCCUGAGCCCACAGCAAGGCUGGGAUUUGUACCCAGCACCACCCUGCGCCCUCAUUGCACAGAUCCCGAGACACAGCCAGAGUGGGAACCAAGUUUGCACAGAGUACGGGUCAGAGCAGGGACUUGGACAAACCCCGUCUGACCCCAGCGCCCGAGCGCCAGGAUUGGAAGUCACCCCAGCCCCUCCAAAGACUAAAUGGCAAUGGGUGCCUGCAGUUCCUGCUCAGGGGACAGCCAGCUUUCCCAAGUACCAGGGCUUGAUCCCGGGGCCUCCUGCACACUAGGCAAGCACUCUGUCCCUGAGCAAACCCAGCCUCAGGUGGAGCUUUCGUAACAGCCGAUGCUCGUGUGUGAGGCACAGACUCAAGAGGAGCUACUUUAGGUGGUGAAGCGGGCAGCUGAUAGCACACCCUGUGGUGAGGAGCCAACCCUUAGCGGAGCACCUACUGUCUGGGGACAGCUGAGACCCUGAUUUCUUCCCUGAUCCUCACCUGCCUGAAGUUCCCUCACCCUCCUCAGGAUGGGGCAAAGUAAAGGUAGAAUAAUGCCUGCGCCCCUG